rnacentral:tRNA from 1 species
GUGUGUAUGAUGAAGUGGCUAAACAUUGUAGUCUGCAAAACUACCAUUCGUGGGUUCAAAUCCCACUACACACU